rfam:Colletotrichum incanum strain MAFF 238704 contig2351, whole genome shotgun sequence.
GUCGACAAUACUUCAGAGAAUCAUUUCUAUAGUAUUCGACCCUCUCUUGGUUCCCUAAAGGAGCCACAGAUCCCACCCUGGUUGAUGAUUUACAUCCUCGACACCCUAGAGUGAAGAACUCUGGUUGCUCUCGCACCCUCCGCAAGGGGGGCGGCCUAGUCGUCAUGACCGGGCUGUAUAGAGAGCGGUGAUGAUCUCGUCCCUGGCCGCGGUCUUGCCCUCGGGCGCGCGGUUGGGGCGGGUGUCGAAGGACGUCUGACAGGC